rnacentral:lncRNA from 1 species
UGCCUACUAUCGUCUUUGUCUGGUCUGGUUUGCUCUCCAUUAUUAUUUCUCUGCUUUGGGUGUACAUAAGCCCUCCAUCUGGAAGGCAAGACUACAUGAACUUCCACUUCCCUUGAUGAUGAUGAUUGUGUUUGUUGUUUUCCUUCUGUUUGCCAUGUAGUUUAGGUCUAGUGUAGGAAAAAUGAAUAUGAAGUUUCUCAACUUCAUUUUGUAGCUUGCUGUAUUGUCUUCUUCAUUUUGUAUGUAAUUUGGAUUUCAAGUGCCUACUAUCGUCUUCCAAGACUUACAUGAACUUCCACUUCCCUUGAUGAUGAUGAUUGUGUUUGUUGUUUUCCUUAUGUUUGCCAUGUAGUUUAGGUCUAGUGUAGGAAAAAUGAAUAUGAAGUUUCUCAACUUCAUUUUGUAGCUU